rnacentral:tRNA from 1 species
GCCUGGGUGGCUCAGUCAGUUAAGCGUCUGACUUCGGCUCAGGUCAUGAUCUCACAGUUAGUGAGUUCGAGCCCCACAUCAGGCU